GAUGAACGCUGGCGGCGUGCCUAAUACAUGCAAGUCGAGCGAACAGACGAGGAGCUUACUCCUCUGACGUUAGCGGCGGACGGGUGAGUAACACGUGGAUAACCUACCUAUAAGACUGGGAUAACUUCGGGAAACCGGAGCUAAUACCGGAUAACAUGUUGAACCGCAUGGUUCAACAGUGAAAGACGGUCUUGCUGUCACUUAUAGAUGGAUCCGCGUCGCAUUAGCUAGUUGGUAAGGUAACGGCUUACCAAGGCAACGAUGCGUAGCCGACCUGAGAGGGUGAUCGGCCACACUGGAACUGAGACACGGUCCAGACUCCUGCGGGAGGCAGCAGUAGGGAAUCUUCCGCAAUGGGCGAAAGCCUGGCGGAGCAACGCCGCGUGAGUGAAGAAGGUCUUCGGAUCGUAAAACUCUGUUAUUAGGGAAGAACAAAUGUGUAAGUAACUAUGCACGUCUUGACGGUACCUAAUCAGAAAGCCACGGCUAACUACGUG
rnacentral:rRNA from 1 species